GUAAGAUUCAGCAUCGACAUCAGCAAGCUUCUAGCUUCCGCCAACUCCACUUUCCUGCAAAUCUCAAAUCUUGUUUUAAAAAGUCCUGUCAAGAUGUCCAUGAUGAGUUUCGCCGUUUGUUUCUUGGCUGCGGUCGUCGUGAUGGUGGCUGGCAAUCCAGGAUACGGGUACAAACCCAUGGCCCCCGCGUACAUGGCUCCAUCUUACUCCGCACCGGCCUACAAGGCUCCGGCGUACAGGGCUCCAGCUUAUUCACCACCAGCAUAUUCUCCUCCAGCAUACAGAGCUCCUGCAUAUUCACCUCCUGCUUACAGAGCACCAGCCUACAUGGCCCCAGCUCCUUCGUAUUACAAAAAAUCAUCUUAUUAGAAUCCAUCGAUAAUCGAAAUGUUAAUUUAAAUCCAAUCUUGUAGCGAAAUACAAAUAUGAUUCGAACAUUUGAAGUCGACAUUA